AUGGAAACAUUACUGUCAAAGGCCAUCCAUCUUAUUAAAAGUCUAGAAACUGAUCGAGCAGAAGCUGAACAAAUGUUAAGACAACAAAAAUCGAGAAAGAAAAUGAUUAUCAUGAAGAUUGACUCUUGGUCAAUCUGGAAACUUCAAGAACUCCCACUAGCUGUGCAGAAAGAACACGAGGCCUUUUUGAGAGAUAUUAUAGAAUUAAGAUGGCAUCUGGAAGAUAGAAAUCAUCAGUUAGAACAUUUGGAGAAACAAUAGACAAAGCUAGAAGAAGCAAAUGCAAAGGUUCAAGCAGACAUAGACUUCAUGCAGAAUCAUGGUGCUCUGCUGGACUCAAAGCAGAGGCAGGAAGUGGAAGCUCUGCAGGAGAAUUACCAAAAAAAACUUGAGGUGAACGAAUAAAUGAAUGAAUGUGCUUCUCAAAUUAUUAUUUAUGCAAAAAUAUUACAACCAUAAGAAAUCACGUCUUUAAAAUUUUCAUUUUACUCAAAAUCAACUUGCCAUUUAUUUCUCAGAGAAUUUAUUACACUGUGUACAUACAAAUUUAUUAAACUAUAUUCAUACAAUCUAUAAAAUCAAUCUAUUUUAACUAUAUCUUCUUCACUUACCUUUAUACCUAAGGAUGAUUGAUAAUGCUUAGUCAAUCUGAGUCUUCCAAUAAAAAGUUUGAAGAUUCAGAACACCUGGAUAUUUUUUAAAGUCAUAGGUGAAAAUAGGGUAAGUAGAAUAUAUCAGCAAUUUCAUUAUUGCUGAAAAUAUAUAAAUGAACCAGUCUUUUUAAUGGUUAACAUUUACCUCUCCUAUUGGGGGAAUCAUAGAAUAGAAAAAUAAUUAAGCUAUAACUAUAUAGAAAGAACAAGUUUAAAUUUGCUAUAUAUUUAUUUUUAGUCAUUUGAAAGUAAAUAAAACAAGUUGUUUAAUAUUUUCUGUGUUCACCUCUACAUUUCCAUUUUCCUCUUACCUUCGCCAAAG
rnacentral:lncRNA from 1 species